CCACAAUGGUGAGGACUCUGGAACUGGCCUUCUCCCCACACUGUGGGCCUACUUCGGCUCUACACACAGAGGAGCACAGCUGAAAGGGCAGCGCAGUCCACAGACCGCAACACAGGGGCCACCUCCUGCAGAGGACCUUCCAGAUGGCAGCAGAAGCCUGGCUAAGAAGCACAUAUCAAAAUAUGUACCCAUCAGUAUAAAAAGAUAUUUGGAAUAUAAAUGGUAAAAGCAUAUUAUAACACCACAUGUGUAAUAUAUAAUUUUAAUUAAAAAAAUAGAUUGAUAAAUAGAAAAGUCUAAUGGAUUAUCUCACACAAUGUUCAGUGAAUGGUAGAAUUAUGGGUGAUAUUUUCUUAAUUUUUUCUUCAUGCACCUAUAUUUGUACUUUUUUUGCUCUAAUUAUAUAUAUUAAAAUUCUGUUUAGAAGUUAGUUUGUCAUAGUAACAACAUUUUUAAAAAUAGCCUAAAGUGGCUGGGCGUGGUGGCUCACGCCUGUAAUCCCAGCACUUUGGGAGGCCGAGUUGGGCGGAUCUUUUGAGGCCAGGAGUUCGAGGCCAGCCUGGCCAACAUGGUGAAACCUUGUCUCUACUAAAAAUACAAAAAAUUAGCUGGGCAUGGUGGUGCGUGCCUUAAUCCCAGCUACUAGGGAAGCCGAGGCAGGAGAAUUGCUUGAACCUGGGAGGCAGAGGUUGCAGUGAGCUGAGAUCACGCCACUGCACUCCAGGCGGCGUGACAGAGCAAGACUCUGUCUCAAAAAUAAAAAAUAAAAAAAAAUAGCCUAAAGCCCAUAGGUGUCUUGCCAGAGAACACAGAAAGAGACAGUUGGAAAAACCAGGGGUGCCAGGUCAGUUGCUCUUGCAGACAGGUACUCAAGUGCUCCUCUUCUGCUUCAACUUCAUGGACACAGACAACAAACCAGGCAGGGAUUGCUGGACCUUCUACACCAAAGCAUUCUUGGGAUUUUCCUUACCACCCCACCCCCCACCACUUCCACUGUCCAAAUUCUGCCCAUCCAUUAGAAGAUAGUUCAAAUAAAACCUCCCCCUAGUGAGGUGCAAUCCCUCACGGCAUUUUCUUUCAUGUCCCUUUCUGCAGUUAUUACAUCCUGCCUCGUACUACAGUUACAUGUGGACUUGCCUUCUCUUUCUUAUUAGAUUAUAAGCUCAUUGAGGGCAGACUCCACAUCUGAUGCAUUUGUGUGUCCCCAGCACAGUGUCUGCCUCACAGCGAGCUCCGGUUGGAUAGCUGCUGAAUGAAUGAGUCAGUGAGUGAGUGAGUGAAUGAAUGAAUAAAUGACACGAUUGCUGAACUCUCCAUGAGCAAAGCAACAAAGCAAGUCAGGCAGGGCAGAUUUUUUUCAUCAUUUCUGGGUUGGUUUGUAUUUUAUCCAAAACACCAAUUUUUAC
rnacentral:lncRNA from 10 species